rnacentral:tRNA from 1 species
GAGAUAAUUUUCAUGAACUGCUAAUUCAUAUUUCCGUAUUUAAAAAUACGGUUAUCUUA